rnacentral:rRNA from 1 species
AGCAGCCGCGGUAAUUCCAGCUCCAAUAGCGUAUAUUAAAGUUGUUGCAGUUAAAAAGCUCGUAGUUGAAUUUCGGGAUCAAAUUGUCGGUCGUGCCUCGGUACGUACUAGCGCUAUUGGUUCCUCCCUUCUGAAGAACCGCGAUGUCAUUAAUUUGGUGUCGCGGGGAAUCAGGACUGUUACUUUGAAAAAAUUAGAGUGUUUAAAGCAGGCUCGCGCUUGAAUACAUUAGCAUGGAAUAAUGAAAUAGGACGUUUGAUUCUAUUUUGUUGGUUUCUAGGAUCGACGUAAUGAUUAAUAGGGAUAGUUGGGGGCAUUAGUAUUCAAUUGUCAGAGGUGAAAUUCUUGGAUUUAUUGAAGACUAACUACUGCGAAAGCAUUUGCCAAGGAUGUUUUCAUUAAUCAAGAACGAAAGUUAGGGGAUCGAAGACGAUCAGAUACCGUCGUAGUCUUAACCAUAAACUAUGCCGACUAGGGAUCGGAUGAUGUUAAUUUUUUAAUGACUCAUUCGGCGCCUUAC